GCCCGUAGACCAGAAGCCUGCGCCCGGCCACAGGAACGAAGGCCCCAAGCCUGGCGAGUCGCUGAUCAACCGGGGUCAGGCGCCGAUCUCCGCGGGGCUUGCGAGCGGGAUCGGCACCGCCACGGACGACGAUGGUUGUCCGGAGCACGGUUGCGGCGGGGCUGCGCCCACUGGAUCGGUGGUUUAAUAGUGCUUGAACAAUGAAUCUCUUUGCUUGCACUGAAUUGUUCGAGGUUUAUGUUAUAGUUUUGAGAUUUCUUUUUAGAUUUGUGCAACUCCACUUUUGCUUGUGUAGUGUUGGGGGUUCUGGAUGUUUCUUGAACUGGCUCGGUGAAGUACUCAUCUAUUCCAGAAUUAAUGCUGGAUUGUGUGGUUCUUUGUUUAGGUGCCGGAGAAAAAGCCCUAUCCUUUUCGUGACCUAACGUUUGAGAGAGACAGUUAUUGAGCCAGUUCAGUAACUUGACAUCUGUUCGAAGGCCAUACUCUUCACAGCCAGAAGUGAUCACAUCCUGGAAGUGACCUGCAUUGCUUGUUUUAUCUAACGAGCGAGGUACCCAGCUGCUGUACUCCAGUGUCAACAGAGAGAUGUGGUAUGCUUGCAGUCUGAUUAGGAGUCAACAUGCUUUCGGUUGUGAUUCUGUGAUUACAGAAGGCCCAUUGCCAUAUUUAAAGGGGCUGAUCCACAGUGCGCAUGUUGGACAAGGUCCAUGGAUGGAUUUCUGGAACUCCAAGCUAUGUUUCUGAGCUUGAGCAACCAGGCCUUCAUUAUGAAACCUGGACAAGAGGAGGUCCAUAGACUAACUGUACAUGGUGAAAAGGAUGUGCUCCAUGACUUAAGAGCGAUUGGAACAGGGAACUAGUGCAUGGGCAUUUCCUAGCAUGGCUGGUGACAGAAGUGACUUUCGGACUCUUGCAUGAUGUAACAGUCUCAGCUCGGCUAAAAGCACACUAUUUCUCUGUUAUCCAAUUUCUGAAGAACAAUACUCUCUGUAGGUAAAUAUUGAUCUUGCAUCUUACAUCUCCUCCAACUGCUUCUAGGCGAAAUGUAUCAGUACAAGUAGCCUUAGCUUGCACGACACUGAGUCCCAGCUUCUCAAAGGCUUCCAAAAUGGAGACGAGCAAUCCCGGGUAG